rnacentral:lncRNA from 1 species
AUAUGUGCUCCAGAGUUUAGUCAGUUUGGUGUAGUAUGUGCAUACUGAGUCUUGUCCUUGGUAGAGUGUGUAUGUUUGUACUAGGACAUCAUAGAGCAUUGCACCAUUUGAUUGGUUGUAUCUGAUUGCCAAUUCAUCCCAUAAUAUCCAUGGUUUGCUAGCUGUGAGAAAGGAUUGUUGUAGCUCUGGUGUGAUGGAGCUUAGUAACCAAGAAUGUACCAUAGCAGUGCAGGCCUUCCAUUUUCUAUGUUCCUUUGGAUAUGUUUCUUGGUCUGGUUCUGGUAUGACUCCAAGUAGGAACCCUAAUUUUGAUCUACCUUCUACUGCCAUUUCAAAAUGCUUUUUCCAUACUGGAUAGUUAUUACCAUCCAGUUUAAUAGUUACC